UGGUCCAACAAAGGUCCACCUAACUCCCUUCCCUUCACUAUCGGUCAAUCCACUCUCUCUUUUCACCUCAUUUCUUCCUCAAUUUCUGAAGAACCCGUCGACUCCUCCUCAAGUCCUCACCCCACGCCGUCGGCUGUCACGUGAUUCUGGCGAUUCGGGUCACACCUCACUCCAAGAGUCCGAUUCCACCCAACCAUUGAAAAUCUCUAAUCGGAAACCUCCAAUUUGACAACCUCCAAUCCGUCGUCUUCCGUCGCGUCGCUGCUGAUCCGGGCUGCUGGUCGCCGGCGUCUCCAAUCUCCUCGGCGGAAAUCGCCCCUGCAGCGAGGAGGGAGGACGUCGUUCGCUGCCGUCGCUGCGCACUACCGUCGCUGUGCGGUCGCUGCCGUCGCUGCUGCUCGCAGCUGCUGUGCAGCCUCCUCUUCCCCGGAAACACUCCGAACCACCCCGAAUGAACCCGCAAAUUACGUUCUCAAUUCAAAUGUAAUGUGAGGAAGAGAUGGAAGGCUAAAGUAAUAUUUUGUGCGACUCUUGGAUGGAAGCAUUGAUGGUGGAAGAGGGAAGAUGAAAGAGUUGGAGGUGGAGAGUCCUUGGUGGAAACCGUCGACCAUGGUUGAAGAAGAAGGAGAAGGAAGUUCUUUGGGCUUGCUCCCAUUUGCUUGGAUAGAUUUGGGCUCUUAAAUUAAUUAAAUGGUGUUGGGCUCAAUUUGUUGUAAGCCCACUUGGCAAUAUUAUUACUUGGUUAGAUUUUUAAAUAGUUAGGGCCCAAGUCCUUUUUAUAGAUAGUCAAUUGGACUCCAAUUUAAUUUGGAAAGCCCAAACAUAAAUAUAUAUACAUACUUUAUUUUCUCGCA